GAAACUGAAGAUUUUCUGAGUGACUAAAUAAAAGCAAAAUAAGAAUAAAUAAAAAAAAAAAUAUUUAGUAUUUCUCUGUACUGAAAAAUGGCUUAUUUUAGUAUUUUACAGGAUAACUCUCUGAAGAACAACAACCUGAAGAGAUGAAACCAACUGUUGACUGCUGAAACAUUCCUUAGGACUAGCAGCCAAUGAACUUGAAAAAAUAGAGAAACAAAAUGGCUUAACACCUUAAUGUCAAGAGAGACUUCUAAUGAUGGAAAUGUUCUAGGCUGGAUCACUAAGAUAAGUAUUAAUAACAAUCUCCUGUUAUUUUUGUCUUCUAUACGUAGCGCAGAAGAAUAAGUGACUCCUUCCAGUCCUGUGGGUAUUGUUAAUGACAAGCUGCUUGGCUUUGUUUUUCUACCUUUCCUUAUUUAUUUCACUUACUAUCAUAUCUAGGCAGUUUCAGAGAGUUUUAUCAUUUCUUGUCAAAUCUAUCUUGAUCACUUAUCAUUCAAAUGGAUGUUUAAUAUCAAGCUUCAAUGCUCACAGACCUUUUCAGGACUCAGAAGCAGGUAUUUUACAUCCUGAAUAUAUAGUUAUAUGUAAAACGCUCUGAGUUAACUGUCUCGUGGCCUUUAUAUUCUCUUGAAUCAUCUUCUGAUUUCUAUUGACAAAAUGAAAAUACUUAGUUAAGGUUGUAGGCAAAAAAAUAAGUGCAGAAGGUAUAUAGUGUAUGCAAUACAUAGCCAUUACACUGAGUCCUAAAUAAGCCUAGAGGAAGACUGAACAGUAGUGCUGCAAGGAGUCAACAAUCUCAUUUAUCUUUGUGAGCUCCCAACUCCCACAUAGUCAGUACCAGGCACUUGAGUAAACAAUGCAAACAAACUCACUGAAUAAAGAUGGGAAAACUGAAAACCUGCACUAAUUCCUAAAAAGUAAAUACUUCAUACCCUGUCACAGAAGGGUUAUGAAAAAAUAGUAUGGAGAAGAAGAAAUGGUUUAAAAAGCCUAAAAAGCAGAAAUUGAGCCAUUCUUAUUAUAUGCACAGUCUAUUCUGAGCAAAACAUUUUUGUCAGAUCACAGUGCUGUAUCUUUUUUUUAUGUGCAGUUUGGAAAAACAGAGCAGUCUCUGCUUCACUAUGCUGAUUGUUUUGUCUCAUGCACGACCAUGUCUCUAAAUUUGCCACCCACAGCCCUGACAGCCUCUCUACCCUCCAUCACCCUCAUUUAAAAAAAUAAAAUCUCUGUUAGAUUACAUCUCUAGGGCAGGCACAAAAGCAACUGUGUAGAGAUCCCUGAUUUGAUCUAUAGAAGCUAUCUUGUACACUAGUGGGAUUCUAGUCUUGAGAGCAGAACACAAAUUCAUGUACCCUGCAGCUUGGCUUGGUUUUGCAGCCUAUGCAGCACUUUGUGCUGCCACAGCCAAAUUGGUACUGAUACUUUAAGUAAGUGUCGCAAUAUAUCUAAGUCAGUUUUAUGCUAACUGCAGUCACUGCUACAACCUCAGCAUUGGUGCUCCCUCCUUUACAGCCUGCGUAUUCAGCCACCACUCCAUAUAUUUGUUCUUCUGCUAGGCUAUUUGCUCUUCUUUCACAUACAAAAUAAAUUGUAUAUAUUCUUUUAUAUUCACAAGUAAUUUUUUACUUUCUGGCUUCCCUAUUUCUGUAUCAUCUCAUAUGUGUUACAGAACAUUGCUGGCUAGCCCCAUAUUGCUGUAAAGGCAUAGAGAGUCUCUAUUUCCAUUAUCACAUUUAAAUACUUCAGAAGAAACCAUGCAUUAUGUAUUCUGAAUACUUACUAAAACAUCUUGAUCCUUAAAAAGAGUUUGGUGUCUUUCACUAUCUUUUUCCCUACUUUACACUGGGGCCGAUAACUUUUGGAAUUACAUGAAACCUAGAGAACUGGGAAAAUGAGCCGGAGAGAAAAAUGUAUUUAAUUUUCAGAUAACAAAGCAGUCAGGAAAAGGACUGAAUAAGUCAAGAUAGUAGAAGCAUGGAAAGGUUGCCUUGCCCUCUCUAAACGCUUGGAGAAAUUGUUUCAUAAAGAAAUGGAAGAAAAAAUACAUUUUGUUAUGUUUAUUGUAUUUCUGUGCAGAGGAAGGGGUGAAACUGCAAAGAAAGGAGGCAGCAUCAUUCAUCGCAAGUAUUUAGUAACUGUUGUAGUAGGUGUCUUGCGGGGCUACGGGAUGUACGGGACAGGCCUCUCCCUAAGCAUAGAGAGACAGUGUUAUCGUGCUGACCUUGAUGCAGAGAAAACAGGAGAAGAAGAAGGAUGAGAAAAGAAUGUGGAAAC
rnacentral:lncRNA from 7 species